GACGAACGCUGGCGGCGUGCUUAACACAUGCAAGUCGAACGGAAAGGCCCUGCUUUUGUGGGGUGCUCGAGUGGCGAACGGGUGAGUAACACGUGAGUAACCUGCCCUUGACUUUGGGAUAACUUCAGGAAACUGGGGCUAAUACCGGAUAGGAGCUCCUGCUGCAUGGUGGGGGUUGGAAAGUUUCGGCGGUUGGGGAUGGACUCGCGGCUUAUCAGCUUGUUGGUGGGGUAGUGGCUUACCAAGGCUUUGACGGGUAGCCGGCCUGAGAGGGUGACCGGCCACAUGGGGACUGAGAUACGGCCCAGACUCCUACGGGAGGCAGCAGUGGGGAAUAUUGCACAAUGGGCGGAAGCCUGAUGCAGAAACGCCGCGUGCGGGAUGACGGCCUUCGGGUUGUAAACCGCUUUCGCCUGUGACGAAGCGUGAGUGACGGUAAUGGGUAAAGAAGCACCGGCUAACUACGUG
rnacentral:rRNA from 1 species